ACUGCCUUCCCAGUGUCCCAGCAUUCCCCAAAAGGAUUCCACCAUUCCCCAGAAGAGGGAAGGCUGAUGGGCUGACAGUCUGUUCGGGGCUGAGCUGGGGUUUGGUUUUCCUCCUGAAGGACUCCUUCAACUCUUAGGGGAUGCACUGUCCUCCCCUGCCCUGGAGUGUCUGCUGAGCUAUUAUAGUUUCUCCCCAGGAGCUUAAGCCUCAAGUCCCUCACUUCCAUCAACUGCCCAUCUCAGAGGAAGGGACUGAGACCUGAACUCGGGACUACUUGUCUGCUCCUGUAGAAAUGACUGGGACUCCAGAGUGCAGCUCUGAAAAGGAGCAGAGAUGUAUCUACUCCUUUGUAUAGCUCCCACAGAGUGAAGCACUCAGCCUGGCACACACUACAUGCUCAGUUGGCAUUGAACUGGUGCAGAGGGGCCCUUGAAUACUUUUGGACCACCUCCUGUCCAUCUUCACCUCUUCCUACAAUGCUGCCAACUCCAGCCCUCCCUGAGGAGGCUCAGACCUUUCUCGGAAAUCACAUUCAGCCCUGUGGAGAUAAUCUUGGAACAUUCUGGGCUCUCCUAGAAUGACAUUUACCCUUGAAUACCAAGUGACUGGAGUGGAACUCCAGGACACCACUGUGUCCCAGCACAAAGAGCUAAGUCUCCAUUCCCCCCCGCCCCCGCCACCCACCCCAAAGCAGAGAUUCCAAUUUCCAAACCAGAGAUGAUACCCCAGUUAGAGUGAGCAGAAGAACCAUGAAUGCUGGAAAGAUAAGUGCUGUGAGGCUCCUGUCCAGGUGAGUGACUGAAGGCCCAGUAAGUCAACACCUUUCUAGUCAGUGAAGGAGUGCAUGGGCUUUUUCAAGUUCUGCUGGUGAAAGUGGUUUUCUAUUUGCUUUGUAUUGUUCAUACCUGACCCAUUCAUAAAAGAGUGAAAAUUGUCCAUUUGGGGGCCCUGGAUUGAAUUAUGGUUUUAAAUUCCAGUUCUUACAAGAAAAAAUUAACAUUUUAAGGAUUUUAAAUGUUGCAUGGGCUUUUUGUUGGCCUUUGGUACUUACCCACAUUCACCAUUUAUCAUGAUGAGAUGCUCUCCAUGCAUUCUCCUUCAGAGGACAUUGACAUUUACAUUCCAGUUCAAGCAUAGCAUGUUUAAUGGUGGCAGCUUAACCCCAAAGAAAGGAGUGAGAAGUGGGUGACAAAACUAUUUGUGUAUCUAGUGUUUUUUAAGACAUUCAUUCAUUCAUUUAACAAAUGGAUUUUUUUUUUACCCAAUAAGAUUUGCUUUAUUACAAAGAUAAUAUAUGCUCAUUUCAGAAAUUAAAAAAAAAAUACAGAGACACAAAACACAGAAGUCCUGAAAUCCCACCACCCAGGGACAAUCACUAUCAACGUUUGAAUGAGCAUUCUUCCAAGGCUGGCUCCGCACCAUCAUGUGUGGAGAUGUGGAAACACUAUUGUGUGUGCUGUGGUCCUCUGCCUGUUAUUUCGUCCUCAAUCACAUGUUGUGGACAUCUUUCCAUGUCAGUUAAUAAUAUAUAGGUAUAGGCAAAUAUCCAUUCUCUUUAGUGACUGUGUAGUAUUCUGCUGCAUCAACAUAUCAUAAUCUAUUUAACCUGUCCACUAUUGAUAGCUAUUUAGAUUGUUUCCAGAUUUUCAUUAUUCUAAAUAACCCUGCAAUGAACGACCUUAUACUACAUAUUUGUAAACUUGUUAGGCUAUUUCUUUUGGAUAACUUCCUAGGAGUGGGCAAAUGAUGAAGUGCAGGAUAUCUAAAAUACAUUAUUUCCUUUCCAUUCACAACAAUUCUGGGUCAUUUCAACUAGAUGUAAAAGAAAGUUGAUUUGGUCUUAAAAGUUAACUGGCAACAUUUUCUCAAAAUCCAUCAGGCCUGUCAGGAAGAUGAACACGAUUUUAGGGUGGGGAUCCAUUUAAUUUCCUCCUCUUCGCUUGGGUCUCUCUGUUGUUUCUACUUCCUUCGGGCCUUCCUGAGAGACUGAGGGUUUCCUCUAUUUCAGCAUUGAGCUCCUUAGCCCUUAGCCUUCACUCUUUGUAUUUUGGGUUGUCCCAUGUUAGUAUGUCCGAUCGUGGAAACAAAUAAUAACAACAACAAACACUUGCAUAGCAUUUGCAGUGUGCCAGGCAUGCAGAAUCAUAUCUGCUUUUCAAAUAUAAUUCAGUUAAUCUUCCAAAGAGCCUUACGUAGCAGGUUUCAUUAUCUUCCCUCUAUAGGUGAAGAAAUUGAGUCUCUAAGAGAGUAAGUAGUUUGUCUGAGUUUACACAGCAAGUAAAUGGCUGAGCCAGGAGCCAAACCCAUUCAGCUUGACUAUGGAGGCUCAUAGCUACACCUCAGCCAAUGUACUUUCUCUCACCAGUUCACACAGGUGUCCACACAGGUGCUGCAUGCUCUAGACCAUCCUAACCCAUCCGCUUCUGUGACCGGCCAGUGGCAUCUGCUCCUCCCCCAUCAUCUCAGUUGAAGAAUUAAGAUGAGAUGCCUCGUGUGUUUGUCUGGCAAUGAGGAAUAUUUGAGUGGAGCUGAAUUCUUCAAAGAAGUCUUAACCUUCAGGCUGGAGAAGAUCAGAACUCCUCUUCCUAAUUUGGAAAUAAUGUCUCUUGUUGAUGGGUUUUGUUUUAAUCAUAAAGUAUCUUGUGUUCAUUUUAGAAAAGAAGAAAAAAGCAAAUAAAAUCACCUGUUAGAGAAAAGUAACUAAUAUUUUGAUGUAUUCCCUUCCAGUACUUACAUAUAUAAGUAUAUAUGUAUGUAUAGUUAUAUACAUAAAACUAUGAAGAAAAGAUCAUGCCAUGUACUUGUAUAUAAUUUUGCAUAUUAAUUUUUGUUUAAUUUCAUAUCAUAACUGGUUUCACAUGGCAUUAAAAAUUCUUC